CCUAGGGUUAAGAAAUGGAAAGAACAAAAAAAGGGUUCGGGCUCACUUGAGUGUUUUUUGAUUUCGAGCGUGGUGGCUCAGCCGAGCUCUACUCUCCAUUUCUAACCUUCCCUCAGGUUUUCCUGAAUCAAGAAGGAUUUUGGGUAAUUUAGAAUGAAAAAACGGGACGAACGGGAGAAAAAUAACACUUACUAGCGGCGAUUUGGGUCUCCAGUGCAGCGGCGAUGGGGAC
rnacentral:lncRNA from 1 species